rnacentral:sRNA from 1 species
AUUAAAACUCAUUUUGGAGGAAGUGGGAAGUGACUGCAUGGAGGUUGGCUUCUGUAGCUGCUUAAACGAACCAAUGGCCCCAUUCACUCUCAUUAUAUCGGCACCAAUGUCCGAAAUGAUGUUGUCCUUCGUGGCUUUGUUGUUGUUUCGCGCCUCUUCUCGUCCCCCACCAUCCUCUAAUAAUACGCUUCUCGACGUAUCCUCUUCGGCGAUGAUGGCACAAUCUAUUUGCGGCAACCGCGUGUGUGGAAUGGAAGUAUUUUGAAGACUCAUCUGGGAAUCGUAUUUACCUACUUCUUCGUCUGUUUGGCUGCCGUGGUCAACUUUCUUGUUUACCUGAAAGCUAUAAUUUUGUAACUCGAUGUCAGGUGAGGAGUAGGCCUGAUUAAUGCGGCCGUCAAUUUCUCCAUGUUCCUGGAAUUUUAAAUCCUGCAAAAGUUUGGCAUUUUGCUUGUGCUCAGUACGACAUUCUGAAUGUUUAUCGAGGCUGUUCGGCAAUGAAUUGGGACGUUUGACAUUUGCACUGGUUUCAUCGUUUGGAUCCGCGAAUGCUACUGGCACUUGGCGUAUUAGCUGCUCCGUAGAAUCAAUACGUGUUUUUUCAUUGGCUGGUUCGACCAUGACGAGAGCUGACAUAUUCAAAUGUGAUGGAAAAUUCAAUCAAAAUAUCGAUUCAACAGCUGUCAUUCACUACAGGUACACAAAUGGGGAAGAGAGCGUGACACCAUUGCUCGUAGCAUUCCCUUCGCAUUGUCUUCUCUCGACAUCACGCAAAUUAAUCAAAUUUUUUUUUUAAUUAUAGGAUAAUACCUAUUACAGUCGAACACAUGUAAAAUGGCUCUAUAAUGUGAAUAAUUACUUGAAUAUUACCCAGCUGUUAUGUACCUCGGUGUGUUUUGCGCCAAAAUAUAGCUAAAUAUAUCGUUACUUAUGAUGGAAGCACGGGAAAAGAACGCAGACGAUAGAAGCACGUCUGCUCAUUAGACGCUGGAGUUUGUUGGUGUUGUUGUUGAAAACAGGCAUCAAAUUUUAUGUAAGCCAACUGGAUUGUCCCUACAAUGAAAGAAUCAGAACGUUAUGUACAUAUACAAAGUAGUGCUAGAUUUUCGUGCUGAAUGCGUUGAAAUAAUUAUAGAUCACAUAGUUAUUUUUGGUCCACUCUUUCCCGUAGCUUUGAUUUAAUGAGAUUGAUAUUUGUUGAAGCCAAAAGCAUUUUGUGUAGUGAACAUGGCAACUUCCUACUUAAAUUCAAAGAUUAGGUAAUAUUAAAAAGUUACGAAACAAGAAGGACCACCCGAAGAUGUUAUUUUGAAAACAAUUUGAUGAGGCAUUGGCUUUAAUAUAUAUUUGAAUCACAACUCAACAUUUUAAGAAACAAUUUGAUAUCACAUGGUUCAUACGUUCGAUUAGAUCGGGAAAAUAUUUCAAUUAUAUAUAUAUAUAACUCAGGCAAAAGUCAAUCGCAAUCAGUAUAUAAUUUUCGUUUUGCAAUGUGACAUAUAGUGCACUGGAAUAUAUUGACUGUCGAUGCAUUUAACUUCACAUGUACUACAUACAAUCAUCUUUUCCAGAGCCCUAUAAACUAUGAACUAAC